GAUGAACGCUGGCGGCGUGCUUAACACAUGCAAGUCGAACGGAAAGGCUCCUGCUUGCUGGGGUACUCGAGUGGCGAACGGGUGAGUAACACGUGGGUGAUCUGCCCUGCACUUCGGGAUAAGCCUGGGAAACUGGGUCUAAUACCGGAUAGGACCACAUUUUGGAUGGUUUGUUGGAAAGUUUUUCGGUGUGGGAUGAGCUCGCGGCCUAUCAGCUUGUUGGUGGGGUAAUGGCCUAGCAAGGCGUCGACGGGUAGCCGGCCUGAGAGGGUGUACGGCCACAUUGGGACUGAGAUACGGCCCAGACUCCUACGGGAGGCAGCAGUGGGGAAUAUUGCACAAUGGGCGCAAGCCUGAUGCAGCGACGCCGCGUGGGGGAUGACGGCCUUCGGGUUGUAAACUCCUUUCGCUAGGGACGAAGCGCAAGUGACGGUACCUGGAGAAGAAGCACCGGCUAACUACGUG
rnacentral:rRNA from 1 species